AGCUUUAACAGAGUCACCCAUCUCUGGUCACCAUUCUUCCCAUUCAGUGAGCUGGCUUGAACUCAGAAUAUCCAUCAUGGAGUUGGGCUGGACCUGGGUUUUCCUUCUUGUACUUUUGAAAGGUGCCCAUUGUGAGGUACAGCUCAUGGAGACAGGGGGAGGCUUGGUGCAGCCUGGAAAAUCUCUAAAACUCACCUGUGCCACAUCGGGAUUCACUUUCAGUACAGCCUGGAUGAACUGGGUACGCCAGUCUCCAGAGAAGGGGCUAGAGUGGAUUGCUCGAAUUAAACCUAAAUCUACAAAUUAUGCAACCGAGUAUGCGGAGUCUGUGAAAGGAAGAUUCACCAUCUCAAGAGAUGAUUCCAAAAGUAGCAUUUACUUGCAAAUGAACAGCUUAAAAGAGGAAGACACUGCCACUUAUUACUGUACUAUGCACAAUGAGGAGACAUGA